GCCGACGUAGCUCAACGGUAGAGCACCUGAUUUGUAAUCAGGGGGUUGCGGGUCCGAAUCCCAUCGUCGGCUCCA
rnacentral:tRNA from 1 species